UGUCGUUUUCGGUUCAGCGUUAUUCUUUCGUGUGCAGUGUAUUAACGGGUGUUUUGUUCGCCGUGCAAAGAAGCAAGAAAGAACGAAAGGAAGAAAAAGUGAGGAGAAAGGCAAAGGAAUUACGAGAACCAUGUGCACCAGUGAUGUACUUUAGCGAUCGUGAAGAGUUGGAACGAUCGGUACGAAGAAAGGAAUUGGGAUCGGAGUGAACGCGCGAAAGAAUAGAACGGGAAAGGAAGGCGAGCGUGGUCGGUUUUGGCCGGAGAAUAUCCAGCCGGGGGGAAGCCAAAGAAAAGAGCGACAAGGGAAAGAAAGGAAACAUGUCGCGACGGUACACCAGGAUCCACAUUGUACGGGCCUGGGCGAGGCCUCGACAUCUUUUGCUGUCGUUUCUGCUUCUUUGUGGAACUCUCGCCGAUGCAACGAGAUUGAGGCAUUCCAGGCACUUGGACGCAAGAUCGCAGCUCUCGAUCGAGGAGGAAUUGGCGAUGGAUCAGGACGAAAAUCACAAUCACAAACCGGUUUUUUCGAAUUGUUCGAAUUACGCACCGAUAGUGAAGGAGGAGGAACCGGUAGGCACGAUCGUGAUUAAAGUACACGCGGAGGACAGGGAUCAACCGAGCGACGGAGGCACCAUUGCUUACAGUUUCGUCACCGCACCGGGUGAAAAGCUAAAGUUCGAGAUCAACAACAGGACCGGCCUGAUCAGGACGACGCAGGUGUUGGACAGGGACGAGCCAGCUCGAGAGAAGGAAGCCUACCUGACCGUCCUCGCGACCGACAACGGAAGGCCGCAACUCGACGACGUGUGCACCUUCAAAGUCACCAUCGAGGACGUGAACGAUAACUCGCCGGUUUUCGACAAAGUGGCGUAUACCGAAUCGGUGCCGCAAGAUUUACCCCUCGGACGAGAAGUGAUGAGGGUAUCCGCCACGGAUAUCGACGAUGGCAACAACUCCGUCGUCUACUACAGCCUCUCGCCGAAAAGGCCCGAGGACGGUGUAUACUUUCGUAUAGAUCGCAACACCGGUGUCAUAUUCCUCAACAAGACCAUCGACAGAAAUCCGGAUUACAAGUUCAGCAUGACGGCAACCGCCGAGGAUCAGGGCGAGAAUCCAAAGUCGAACGUGAUCGAUCUGGAUAUUCGAGUCGUAGAGUCGCACAAAAAGGCUCCAGCCUUUUUGCCAAGGUCUUCCGAACCGAUUCGAUUGCAAGAGAACUUUAGCGAUUUCGACGUGAGUAUCAUACGAUUACAGGCUGUCUCGAAUAGCGGUGAUAACACCGGUCUCCUCUUCGAACUGGUACCCGGUAGGACGGAACAAACCAACAAGGGAAACACGUUCAGAUUGGAAUCGAACAAGGACGUUGCAGAUAUCAAGCUUUCUCAGCACCUCGACUACGAGAGUAACACUUUGUACACCUUGAUCGUACGCGUGCAGAACAAGUAUCAGCUGGCUGCCGAGACCGUGAUCGACAUCGAGGUAUUGGACGUAAACGACAAUAUUCCGGUGUUUCGCGAGAUGAAGAAGGGUAGCGUAUUGGAGAACGAACCACCGGGUGUCCCCGUGAUGCAAGUGCGCGCCAUCGACGCCGACGGGACGUCCGCUCACAAUCAGGUCACGUACGAACUGGACAACUUUCGGGACCUAUUCGCCAUUGAUAAGUACACCGGUAACAUCACCACUCUGACCACGUUCGACAGAGAGCUCGAGGACACGUACAACGUGAAGGUGAUCGCCGUGGAUAACUCGCCGAGCGCUCUCUUCCAAACGGGCAACCACAAUAAAGGGCAGCAAGUAUUUCGCAUCGAGAUCGCUGAUAAAAACGACAACGCCCCCCAUUUCACGCAAGCCGUCUAUACCGCCAACUCGAUCCUCGAGAAUGCCAAUAUCAACGCCCCGGUCACCGAAGUGAAGGCACUCGAUUCCGAUACCGCUAGCCCCGUCACGUAUAGCAUCAUAUACGGUAAUACUGACGACAGCUUUUACAUCGAAGAUACCACGGGAAAGAUUCGCGUGAAAAAACCUCUGGAUUACGAGAAGAUCACCGAAUAUAACCUAACCGUUAGAGCGUUGGACGGUGUGUACAACGACACUGCCCAAGUGAAAAUUUUCAUCGAGAACGUGAACGAUAAUCCGCCGGUCUUCGAGGACUUCAACAAAAAUCCUACCAUCGAGGAGGAGAAGCUGGUCGAAGGUUGCAUCACUACCGUGGUCGCUUACGAUCCAGAUAUCAAGGACAGGAAUGCCGAUCAACAUAUCGCCUACUUUAUCGUGAAAGAGGAUCAGCAACCUUUGAUCGGAAUUGACAAGACUGGUUGCAUGACCCUGAAAAAACCGCUUGAUCGAGAUUCACCCUUAGGAUACUCCAUGUGGACGGUGAUCGUAAUGGCCCGAGACGAAGACGGGUCUCCGACCGCAUUGCGAGAACUGGUAAUGGUCAACAUCACGCUGAUAGAUAUAAACGACAACGCACCUUUCCUCGAUAUGCCGUAUCCGGUGGUCUGGGGCGAGAACAAGCCACCCGGUAAAAUUACCGAACUGAAGGCUCGAGAUUGGGACUCGGAGGAAAACGGACCACCUUUUAAAUUUCAAAUCGACGAGAAUACCGCGGACCAAGAGAUUUUGGACAAGUUUGCUAUUCGAGACGCCGAUUUGUUCGCUCGUGUCAAGUUUGAUCGAGAGGAACGAAAGAGUUACGAUAUCCCGAUCGCGAUCACGGAUAGCGGCAAGCCGCCGAUGACGGGGACGUCCACGUUGACCGUAAUCAUCGGCGACGAAAAUGACAAUCCAAUGUCCGAAGGGUCGAGCUCGAUAUUCGUGUAUAAUUACAAGGGCGAAGCCCCGAAAACCGACAUCGGCCGAGUGUACGUCAACGAUCCGGACGAUUGGGACUUGCCGGACAAACAUUUCGCCUGGGCCUCCACGCACGAAGGGUUUCAGCUGAAUCAAGAGAACGGUAUGAUCACGCUGCUUCCCGGUAUCUCCAACGACACGUUUGUCCUCAAGUUUAUAGUCAGCGAAAACAGUACGCUUAUCCAACGGCAUCAUGUGAACGCGUACGUGAAUGUUACCGUGAAGGAACUGCCCGAGGAAGCAGUGGCUAGAUCGGGUUCCGUGCGCUUUUACGGAAUGACAGCCAAAGACUUUGUAGCUCCCGACGAAACCGGUGUCAGCAAGAAGGAAAUAUUUCAGGAAAGAAUCGCCAACAUGUUGAAUACCUCGGUGGAAAACGUGGACGUAUUUACGGUGCUUCACUCGCCGCACCAUAAUAACAUGAGUCUGCUAGACGUACGAUUUUCGGCGCACGGUAGUCCUUAUUAUGCUCCCGAGAAAUUGAACACGAUAUUGGCGCAACAUUCCAAAGAGAUGGAACGAGAGCUAAAGACUGACAUUCUGCUGGUAAACAUCGACGAGUGUCUAUUCGAGAAACAGCACUGUAAUAAUACCUGCCGCAGUUAUCUAAAUGUUAGCACGGUUCCGUAUCCGGUCUACACGAACGCGAGCUCUUUCGUCGGGGUGCGAGCGGUCGUAGAUCCACAGUGUACCUGCCACGUGGCUGAACCGAUAGAAUGCCUCAACGGCGGUACACCGUUAGCCGAGCGAUGCGAGUGUCCUCCCGGUCUCGAGGGACCAAGGUGCGAGCUUCUCGGUAUCGGUUUUCACGGCGAUGGUUGGGCGGUGAUGCCACCACCCGGACAAGCUUGCGACGAUUCACAUUUAGGUUUAGAGAUAACUCCUCACGUAGACAACGGUUUGGUGUUCUAUUUUGGUCCAAUGACUUAUAGUUCGAAGAUCAGAAUUCAAGAUUUUAUGGCUUUGGAGCUUCAACAAGGAUACGCUGUCCUCUAUAUGGAUUACGGAACUGGUACCGUGCGACUCGAUCAACGACGGAUCAAACUUACAGAUGGCAAAAGCCACAGGAUAGACGUGUUCUUUACGAAAAACGCGAUCGAGAUGCAAGUGGACAAUUGUGGAAUAUCGGCCUGCAUGAGUCUUACCGCGCCGCAAGGAUCAAACGAAUUCCUAAACGUAAACAGCCCGAUGCAAAUCGGUGGAACUUUGACUAAUCUCGCACAAUUAGCCUCGCAGUUGAAAUGGGAUCACAAACCUACCAGCAAAGGAUUCGUCGGAUGCAUACGCAACAUGACGUUCAAUGGAAAUACGUACAACUUGGGAAUGCCCUCGUUAUCCAGAAACGCCGAUCCUGGCUGUGAUCACGGAAUGGCCAAGGCCGUAUCAUUCGGGAUCGAUACCAACUUCCUUGUUGCGAUCUUGGUUUGUAUCGCCAUCUUAUUGAUACUGUUGCUAGCAGUUGUGGUGCACAGGCGAAAAACGGAUGAUCUCUACAAGGACAUGGACGACAUAAGAGAAAAUAUUAUCAAUUACGAAGACGAAGGAGGUGGCGAAGUAGACACGGGCUACGACCUCAAUGUUCUUCGAACGAUUUACGACGCUCCGCCCAUCGAUUCUAAAAUAGCUCCGAUUGGCUUGCAAACUAGAGGUCCAGACGAAGUACCCGAUAUUUGCGGCUUCUUAGACGGCAAGAAGGAGAGCUGCGAUAAGGAUCCAGACACGAAUCCAUUCGACGAUGUUAGGCACUAUGCGUACGAGGGUGAAGGCAACUCCGAAGGUUCCUUGUCAUCCUUGGCUUCGUGUACCGACGAUGGAGAUCUCAAAUUCAAUUACUUGUCCAACUUUGGACCAAGGUUCCGAAAGCUAGCAGACAUGUACGGAGAGGAACCCAGCGACGAGGAAAGCGAUGGCGUCGGUGAACGCGAAAGCGAAAGUUGGUGUUGAGCUUUCCGCGAUUGUUCGAGCUUCGACUCGAAUCGUUCGCAGCAACCGACUCUGUUAGUUUCCGCUCUCUUUGACGAAGCAGCGACGAAGCCGCGGCUAUUCGUCGCCUCGUGUACUUAACACCACCCGGCGUUCUCUCGCCCUGGUUCUAUACGAAUACCGUGGAAGACGAGUAUAUAGAAGGUGAAAGAAAAGGAAAGAAACGAGACGAACGAACGAACGAACGAUGCAAGGUAACGAUAGGCUUGGAGCAAAAAGAGAUAGGAUGGAAAAAAGACGGAACAAAGGCAGCGGGAGAGCGGUACCGCUCUGCUAUAUUUAACUUAUAGACUAUUUUAUUAACCGGUUAUGCGCGCGAAUGCGAUGAGAAACCGUGUACGAAAUCUUCACAUAUGCGAAUACACGUAUAAAUAUAAACAUUGGUAUCGAAUAUAUGCUGUACACAAAUGUGCGUGCGUGCGUGUGUGUGUGUGAGAGAGUAUGAGUGUAGCGUGCGUGCGUGCGUGUGCGUGCGCGUGUGGGCGCGCGUGUAGGCCAAAGUAAUAAUUAUUGACUUGGCAUGGCGUACGCGUACGAUGCAUAAUUCCGAGAUGCAAAGGCACGAGACACGAGGGAGAGUGGGAAUCGGCGAGAAGAGAUCCGAGUGCCAUAUCGCGCGUUCGAUAUCGGAGAUGGAUUCACCGAGUGAAACGGUAGACGAAUACACGGCCGUAACGCCACCGCGAACGCCAACGAAUUCAAGGCGACUCCUUGCCCUCUCUUUCUCCGCCGAUCAACGAUAAACCGCGUAUUCGCAUGUCGCGUCUUUCCAUAUCCAUUUCGUUCCAUUCGCGAAAUUAACUUUGCAUGCGUGCACGCGUCUGCGAAUAUUUCUAUGUGUGUGUGUAUAUGUAUAUGUAUAUGUAUAUGUACAUAUAUAUAUGUAGAUAUAUGUGUAUAUAUAUAUAUGCAUGUACGUAUAUCCGUGUACUUAUGUAGGCGUUCGCGCACGUACGUACACGUAUAUAUGUGAUAAUAAUUUGUAAGCUUUUUGUACGAUAAAUCAACGGCGAUAUGUAUAUGUAUAAUAAUAAUUGAUAAUUGUAACAACAAGAACAACAAGAACAACAAGAACAACAAGAACAACAGCAACAACGUGUUAAUAAAGAUACGUAAAGCCACGGAUGGCGACUGACUCGGAUGGACAUCCGCCGAGUUAGCCCGAAGCGUUCGCAAAGAAGUUGACGCGUAAUUUAUACGAUAGAAAAGAGCGCAGCUUAGGUGAAAGCGCGUGAUCUCAGAGGACGCGUAAAGAUAGGUGACGGUUACGAGCUACUCGCAAGAUUCUGCCGCGCUAUAAAGUUAUAAGAGAAUCGAGAAAGAUUAUCGGCAUGAUGGCCGCGAUCCCACCCGUCGUAGCAUCCAGCGAGACAGGUGAACGCGUGUUUUUAACGAUACACUCCAUCGCAGUACAAAGAACGUCUCCGUCGGCGAGCGAUGAGCAAGAAACGCGUACUCGAUCGCGACACAAUCCAGUGGACAGCAUUCGGCGACUUCGGUUCGAUUUCGGCACGCGAAAUCUACUCGUCGCGUAUCACGGCCACGCCACGAGCAAAUUUCUUCGCGAUGCGACAUACACGAACACUGCCCUUAUGUACAAUUAAAGAAGAUGGAGAAAGAGGAAGGAGGCCGGUGGAGUUAGAUCGGCGAGAUCGGCGAAAUCGGCGAAAAGGCACCGGUGACCGAGUCGUGCCGGGGAAAGGAUCGACGAUCGCGGAGAAACGAAAGCUUUAGGUCAAGGUACACGCGCCACGUAUACAGGCUUCUUGUAAAUUAUAGACAGGACACGCGAAACCAAAACGGUACGCGCGACCUAUUCGACGCGUGAUAGUUGAUCACAAGACGGCAUCACGCAGCACACCUUUCUUCUUUAUCCGCGAGAUCCAUCUAUUGUCGUCGGAGAUACGUGUAACUUCGUGUUCUUCUCUUUUUUUGUAGCAAUAAUAAAAGACAAUGACAUUGGAAGAUAAUGUGGUUUGCGUUAAAUCGGAAAUUUCCCUCGAAUCCGUAGAUCACUGGACCUCCUCCGUGCUUCGGCUCGCAUCCCACGGAAGAAAGGAGAAACGACUGUUAAUUAAUUCGGAACUCGCGACAGGCUUCCCAUCGACGUUCUUCGAACGAGAAUGAAACCCUUGGAUCGUUCUCGAUUGCGACACGUUCGUGUCGCGUUCCUUCAUUUCCAUCGUACGCGCGCGAUCCACGAUGAAGCUGAUUCGCGCCUCGCAUCACGGAUUCUCCAACCACGAGAACCGAGUUAGAGGUGUGGAGAACCUAUAAAAAGAACCUCGGCCUUCCUACCCUCUCGCAGACGCGGACACACGAUCUCGAGGAUCAGGACUUUGACGCUCGGUCUACUCGCGAUUCCA
rnacentral:misc_RNA from 1 species